GACGAACGCUGGCGGCGUGCUUAACACAUGCAAGUCGAGCGGACUUUCAUUGGUGCUUGCACCUUUGAAAGUUAGCGGCGGACGGGUGAGUAACACGUGGGUAACCUACCCUGUAGAUUGGGAUAACUCCGGGAAACCGGGGCUGAUACCGAAUAACACUUUUGAACUCAUGUUCGAAAGUUAAAAGAUGGUUUCGGCUAUCACUACAGGAUGGGCCCGCGGCGCAUUAGCUAGUUGGUGAGGUAACGGCUCACCAAGGCAACGAUGCGUAGCCGACCUGAGAGGGUGAUCGGCCACACUGGGACUGAGACACGGCCCAGACUCCUACGGGAGGCAGCAGUAGGGAAUCUUCCACAAUGGACGAAAGUCUGAUGGAGCAACGCCGCGUGAGUGAAGAAGGAUUUCGGUUCGUAAAACUCUGUUGCAAGGGAAGAACAAGUAGCGUAGUAACUGGCGCUACCUUGACGGUACCUUGUUAGAAAGCCACGGCUAACUACGUGCCAGCAGCCGCUGUAA
rnacentral:rRNA from 1 species